rnacentral:rRNA from 1 species
CGGUAACUUUAGCUCCAAUAGCGUAUACUAAAGUUGUUGCAGUUAAAAAGCUCGUAGUUGGAUUUCUGCGGGGACGGAGCGGCCGGACGCAACUUGCGUCUCGAGCUAGCGCUUUCCCCGCAUCCUGCCGCGAACCGUGCUACCAUUAGUUUGGUGGCGCUGGGGAUCGGCUCGAUUACUUUGAGAAAAAUAGAGUGUUCAAAGCAGGCCACACGCCUUGAAUAAGUUAGCAUGGAAUAAUGACUAAGGACUUUGGUUCUUUUCGUUGGUGUUCGGGACUGAAGUAAUGAUUGAUAGGGACAGUUGGGGCGGUCCGUAUUCCAAAGCGAGAGGUGAAAUCCUUAGACCUUCGGAAGACGAACAGCUGCGAAAGCGUUCCGCAAGGAUGUUCCCUUUGAUCAAGAACGAAAGUUGGGGGAUCGAAGACGAUCAGAUACCGUCGUAGUCUCAACUAUAAACUAUACCAGCUAGGGAUCGGCCAACGUUUAAUUAUUCGACUUGGUCGGCACCUUAUGAGAAAUCAAAGCAUCUGGGUUCCGGGGGGAGUAUGGUCGCAAGGCUGAAACUUAAAGGAAUUGACGGAAGGGCACCACCAGGCGUGGAGCCUGUGGCUUAAUUUGACUCAACACGGGAAAACUUACCAGGUCCAGACAUAGGAAGGAUUGACAGAUUGAUAGCUCUUUCUUGAUUCUGUGGGUGGUGGUGCAUGGCCGUUUUUAGUCGGUGAAGUGAUUUGUCUGCUUAAUUGCGUUAACGGACGAGACCCCAGCCUGCUAAAUAACGCGGCCGAGCUUUGCUCGGUACGAGCUUCUUAGAGGGACCAUGAUGCGCGAUAGCACAAGGAAGUUUGGGGCAACAACAGGUCUGUGAUGCCCUUAGAUGUUCUGGGCCGCACACGGGCUACACUGGCGCCUGCAACGAGCAUAUCAGCUGGCCCGAGAGGGUCUUGGCUAAUCUUUGGAACCGGCGCCGUGCUUGGGGUUGACCAUUGCAAUUGUUGGUCAUGCAACGAGGAAUGCCUUGUAAACGCGAGUCAUCAGCUCGCAUUGAAUACGUCCCUGCCCUUUGUACACACCGCCCGUCGCUCCUACCGAUGAAUGUUCCGAUGAAAUUUUCGGAGAGCGCCGGAGAACGGGGCUCUGCCCUGCAGAACUGGAGGCUCAAAGUCACUUAAAUCUGAACAUUUCGAGGAAGGAGAAGUCGUAACAAGGUAACC